AAGGUCAAGCACAAGAGUUUAAGGCUUAGUCGUGAGUCUCUACUACCAGGUUGAGCUGUGAUGGAUGAUGAAGUGUUGCUGAGUGGAGCUUUUGUCAAUUUGAAAUUAGGCUCAGAAAAGAUAUAUGUCUGCAUACAUGUAUCUCAGUUAUGUCUUCCGCUGCAAACACUGAUUAUGUUUUAGUCAAGUCUAUAACUAUGUGAAUUACUCUUCAAAGAAAUAUCUAAUGCUUACUCGGGUUCAUCGAGUAUCCUUUUUAA